ACACACUUACCUGGCAACAGAAAGACCAUAAUCGAAUGGAGGUGGUUUUCUCAAGGUGAGGCCCAUGCCUUGCUCCUGAGAUGCACUGACACCUAUGGUUUCUCCACUGCCACAUGAUCUGUGAUAUGGGGAACUGUAUUCAUGCUCCCCUUUA
ensembl:snRNA Gm24409 predicted gene, 24409